rnacentral:rRNA from 1 species
CAUACGGGAGGCAGCAGUGGGGAAUAUUGGACAAUGGGCGAAAGCCUGAUCCAGCCAUGCCGCGUGUGUGAAGAAGGCCUUCGGGUUGUAAAGCACUUUCAGUGGGGAAGAAAGCCUUGGGGCUAAUACCCUCGAGGAAGGACAUCACCCACAGAAGAAGCACCGGCUAACUCCGUGCCAGCAGCCGCGGUAAUACGGAGGGUGCGAGCGUUAAUCGGAAUUACUGGGCGUAAAGCGCGCGUAGGCGGUCUGAUAAGCCGGUUGUGAAAGCCCCGGGCUCAACCUGGGAACGGCAUCCGGAACUGUCAGGCUAGAGUGCAGGAGAGGAAGGUAGAAUUCCCGGUGUAGCGGUGAAAUGCGUAGAGAUCGGGAGGAAUACCAGUGGCGAAGGCGGCCUUCUGGACUGACACUGACGCUGAGGUGCGAAAGCGUGGGUAGCAAACAGGAUUAGAUACCCUGGUAGUC